CAAGUGGCGACUCCAAUUUUCAUUUCAAAAAACCCUUUUUAAACUAUAACUUUGGGUCAAAUCGUCGCAUUCUCAAAUCCCCAUUUAGACCCAUUUUUCCUUUUAAACCACAAUUUAUUUUCCAAUCACAAAUACAUUUUUUUAAAACCAUUUAUAUUUAUUUAUUUCAUUCAAAAAAAAUGGGGCGCGACAGUUGGCGACUCCACUGGGGACAUUCGAGAGUCCGAGCAAAUUUGAUUUAAUCAAUCUUUUUCUUCUUUUAAACCUCUUUAUUUAUCACAUUGGAUGUUUAGGGUUGCAUUUUUCCCUUUUCUAGGAUUUUUGCAUUUCGCGUAUCAACUCACUUCCUCACACGUUCGCCUAUGAUUGUUUUGAUGAAUGGAUGUUUGUAUGUGAUUCCGCGCUUUGCAUUGCAUUUGGGAGGGGAUUCUACCUUAGAGCCUUGCGUGGGUUCUCGAUCCCUCCCCUCCAAAACGUGCACUAUCAUACGCGCAUACGCUUUACUAUUCAUCCCCCUUUAUUUUUCUUUUUAGUGGCUUGUCACGCCACUCCACCCUAUUAGGAUUAGGAGACCCACUUGGACGUGUGAUCGUGACACGACGUGCGCGUAGCACGAUCCAAUGGGUCACUCACUCUUCCGCUUUAAACUUUGGGUUAAUAUCCUUAGUUUUUAGUCGAAGGUUGAGGUUUUUUAUAGAUUCACUCAAACAUGCGGCCGUGACACAGCGUGUGCGUAGCGGUGUUUGAGGAAUCGCUCGAGCCACCGACAAGGAACCUUGGGAUUGGUGACCCUUGGUUUCCAAGUCUGAAGGCUUGGGAGCCGAAGCUUGUCGAGUCUAGAAGCAUUAGCGAACCCCAACCUCAUGCAUCCAUAUUAGAAUUGCAUUAGGGUAGAGUCGGCCUUAUCCUGAGUUAGGGACACUAUUCACGAGGGGAGGGGUCCAACCCCUUUCUCCCUUUUAUUGCUUUAUUUCUUUGUAUUGAUUUCGAUGCUACAAUGUGUUAUGUGUAUUUAUUUGGCUGAACUAACUUUUCUGGGUUUUGUGUCCCCAUUGCAUUCACAAACCCUAGGAAAUAAGAGGUCUGACAUGAUCUUCUUUUAGAAACUACCCUCGUAGAUAGGUUAUUGCAUGUUUAAAGAUUUUGGUAUAUUGCAUUCAUAGAUUAAUAAUGGCAUAGCAUUCUACGCCUACCCUGGCAAAUAAAGGGUUCCUUAGGUCACGUUUCAUUUCAAGUUGCAUGUUUUACUGCUUUAAUAAAAUGGCAUCAUGCAUAAACCCUAGAAAGGGAAUGCCAUUUAGGGGAUCCUGUGUUAGGAAUAAACCACCUUGCGUCUCGGAUACUUAAUCCAAUGAGACUUGCACGUUUACAUUUUGUACCAUCCAAAGGGGUAGUGCACAAGGUAAGGUAGGGUCCGAUCAUUUUCAUAGAGUGAUCUUUGGAAUAUGAGCAUCUAAUAAUCACUUUUUGGCCAUUUUAUCAAAAAUUGGUAAAAAUCCCUUGCGUAAAGUACAUUAAUUUGAAGAAAUUCACAAAUGAUUCCUCCUUUUGAGACGAUAAAUAAACUGAGGCCAAAUCGUGAUUUUAGAAGGUCAUAGACUAAUGCACUUCAAUAAUUUUGAAAUAACCAAUGGCCGGACAAUUCAACCAAUCCAUUCAAUAAAUCGUCAAUUUAUUUGAUCAAUUUACCCUUUUUAGGGUCAUUUGACCAAUUUACCCUUUUUAGGGUCAUCCGGUCGGAUUUUGAAUUUUCAUUCAAUUCAUUUGACCAAUUCAUCCUUUUUUAGGAUCACCUGGUCGAUUCAUUUGACCAAUAUACCCUUUUAGGGUGAUUUAGCCGAUUUUGAAUAAAUUAUGUACAUUUCAUUCAUUUGGCCAAAAUUUUCAAAUUAUUUUUCACUCAAUAAGUUGAUUGGAUCCAUCAGGUAUUGUAUAGUGCCUGCUCUGGAGGAUUGCAUUUUCAUUCUAGGCCUACCCUUGGCACAAAAGGGUCCCUCCAUAGGACAUGCAUCUGAAUUGUUUGAACAAUCACUAACUCAUGUCUUUUUCUUUUUUUCUUUUUCCCUUUUUAGUGAGUUGCAGAAAUCUACCAAACGAUUUGUUUAUCUAAAGGUAUCUUUUGCAUCCUCAGGUAAAAUUUCAAAACAGCUUUUCGAAAAGCCCCACUAUCACACGAUCCCGGAGUAAAGCCCAAGAGAAUCGUGUAAACAUGAGUACUAAGCCUCAAUCAUCCGAUAAGACCAUGGCAACUACUCAGUCGGAAACUACAAGUCCUGGAAUUCAGUUGGCCGAACUACUUACCAAGUUUGAGGAAAUGGCAUCUACAAUGACCGCCCAAAAGAAAUUGAUUGAUGAGCUCGUUGGUAGUGGAGUGCAACCUGAGCCUGCGUCCACUAAACAAAUGGAAUUCGAACCAUUUAUCAUUCCUACAAUGCAAACCACUUUUUCCAUGCAAGGUCCACCUGAAGGGACUUUCACCUACCCCACCAUCCAUCUACCAUACACUUACCCUCCUAAUCCUUCAUUUCUCCCUACUCAAAUGCAAGGUCCUCAACCUCAAGUCACUGCAAAUAUACCACAUGAGCCACAUACUUUUUAUUACCCCACCACUGAGCCUUACCUGCCAGACCAUGUUAUUCAAACCAAACCAGAGGUGGGAGGAUCUUCUGCUCCCGUUGAUAUGAAGUUGCUAAAGCGCCUGGACCGUUUUGAGGAGUUUAUAAGGAAAAGCCAAGGUGUGAGCGAGCAAGGAGGUCUAGACUAUAGCGAACUAUGCCUGUUUCCAGAUAUGCAAUUGCCGGUGGGUUUCAAAGCGCCCAAAUUUAGCAAGUACGAUGGAAAUGUCAAUCCCAAAACACACCUUCGGAUGUUUGCAAACAAGCUAGGGAAGCCGAUAGAUGAUGAGAAUCUACCUGUGCGCCUAUUUCCCGAGAGUCUAGAAGGUGACGCGUUGGAUUGGUACUCCAAUUUGAAGCCUGAGGAUAUGAAAUCUUGGAUGGAUUUGUCAACCGCUUUUAUGAGGCAGUACGAAUACAAUUGCGAGCUUGCUCCAACGAGGUCCACACUUGAGGGAACCAAGAGAAAGCCAUCGGAGGACCACAAGACGUAUGCAAAAAGAUGGAGGAAAUUGGCUGCCAAAGUAGAGCCUCCCAUGACUGAAAAUGAGAUUAUUCGCACGUUCAUCAAAGCUCAUGACCCGCCCUACUUUGAGGAAAUUUUUUGAAUGACCGGGUGUUCCUUUGCCGAGAUUGUUAAUAAAUUGGAAGAAUUUGAUGAGUUUGUGAAGGCCGGGAAAAUUGUUAAUGUGUCGACAUUGAAGAUGCAACUAGAGGCUCUGCAAGGACAGAAUAACAGUGAGAAGAAGUCCCAAUUUAAGGGAAAAGAAAGGGAAACUGCUUUUGUUGGGAAACAGAGCCCCUCAGCCAGACCUAGAUUUUCAAAUCACCCUACUUAUUCAUCCACCUACCCAUACUACCCAAACUCUCGCCCUAUCCACCAUCCUCGACCCCGGCCAAAUUACCCAAACACAUCCACUAUACCAUAUCAUACUUCUCCACCUAACUUUCCAACUAGACCUCACCCUCCUUAUCAUCCAAGAUCCACUUUACCCGUCAACCCAACCUACCACUAUCACCAAACCAGUGACACCCAAAAUCCAACGCCAUACCGAACUUUCGCCAAUUUGGGUUGGCCUGUUGACCAAUUAUAUGAGCAAUUGAAAGCAGUCGGGAAAAUUGGUGUUAUACCUCCUAAGAUCUAUUUUAACCGUUUUCCCUCUGACUAUGACCCUCAAGCCGUCUGCGCUUAUCAUUCUGGAGCUCCUGGGCAUUCCACCAAUAAUUGUCGGGCAUUGAAACAUAAAGUCCAGGAUAUGAUCGAGGUCGGAGAAAUAGUGCUAAGGGAAAAGGAUAUACAAGGAUCGAGUGUAAGUACAAAUCCUUUUCCUAAACAUAAGGACGCCUUUGAGACAUCCACCCCUCAUGAGGAAAUUUGAGAAACCUGAAAAGGGGCUGAAUUAGUGAGAUUCCGCCCUCUUAAAAGGAAUUUCGAUAAAUUGGGGGAUUCGUUUUGGUUAAAACCAAUGAAAAAUCAUUCACGUGUGUGUCUUUUGUUUAAUUUGUUUUCUGUAAAUAGUUUUCAAUCAAGUGACUUUGAAUACAUGUUUUGAUCUUCAUCUUGAAAUGAAAAAAUGUGUGUACAGUUUUCUAUACUUUUUGUUACUUACGCAUUCUUUCAAAUUCCCCGACCUCUCUUGGAUAUCACUGUUCUGAAUUUUGAUAAUAGCAAUAUCUCACGAGUGUGAAUUGGAAUUUCAAAAUGAAAGGAGUAAUAAGAGAGGACAUCCAGAGAUAGUUCAAAAAGACUCAGAUGGUAUAAAGAGAAACUCGAACUGAAUUGGGGUCAAUGUUAAAGAAAUGAAUUUAGCAUUCAUUUUGAAUGAAAAGUUGAAAAGUGUUCGAAGAAGGAGAUAAAGUAUUGAAAAGAAGUUUGCCAGUGCAAAGAGGAAACUAAGAGCAAUUGGGUACCAAAUUGGCAGCACCCUUUUAUUUGUCCAGAAAUUUCUGCCCGGGGGAGCGCUCAUUCUCACAGAAAUAGAUGGGCAAAUGUUCCCUCAGCCGAUCAAUUCAAAUAUGUGUAAGAAAUUCUUCAUUUGAUAAACGAAAGUUUCCUUUCAAGGGUUAAUGCAAAGAAUGGAAUGAAAGUCAGGCCUUCUUCCUUUCCUUUUGAGACAUUUUAUCCCUAGUUAUCCCUUUUGAGCCUUCAGAAUAAAAUAUUUCGUUUGGCAACCCCUGAGAAUCGCAAACCCCACACUGGGGCAAGUUGAAAAAGGAAAGAAAAGCCCCGAGAGGUGAAAAGUGCUAAAACAACAAAAAGCAAAAGACAGAAAAGAAAGAACCUCGGUUGAGUAUAAACUGGGGCAAAUUUUGAAAAUCUCAAAAGAAUGGCAAAAAGCCAAAAGGAGAAAUCCAUCAAAAGAGAAAAAAAUGGAAAAGAAAAGAACCUCAAAUUUAAAAUAGACUGGGGCAAGUUUUGGUUUCGCCCUAAAAUAGGGUCAAUGCAACAGUGCGAUCUCAGGUCUAUUAAACCACUUUCAGAAAUCUGCUUUCAAGCCUUAACUUUUCUAAGCACCUCACCAGACCCCAUUAUAAAAGCCAAAAAGUCCUGACUUCCAUUCUUGGCAUCACCUCUUUUAAGGAAAUUUUCUAAGUCACAUGGCAAAUGAUGUCAGUACGCCUUCACUCAUUUUAUAAGGGAAGGGGUUGCCGCACUGAUGCCAUUAUUUCUUAAAACACAUUUUUUGAGUUGAUAAAGGCUAUUGGCAAGAUUUGUUCAUCAGGUGAAAAUUCGAAAAAAGGCACCUGUGAAAAAAAAAGAAAGGAAAAAAAAGGAAAAAGAAGAAGAGCGGAAAAAAAGAAAAGGUGGGGUGGUAGCCUUAGUGAAUACCUGCAAGGGCGUUAAGGUCGGGUUUCAUAAGGAGAAAUGAGUUUGGAUCUGGAAAAUCGGUGUCUUAGUUCAUUAAAAUUUCCCUUCACCUUGUGGUUUUGUUGCCAACAUCAAACUCCGGAAGAACGAUAUCCAAAAGGUCAAAUGAGGAAUCAAAGUAUUUUAGUUCAUUACACAUAAAAUUUUAAGUUUACAGGUUCAUUUUUCUUAAAUUAAUUUUUUCUCAAAAUGGAUGAUUGUUUUCAAAUUUACGUGAGAUUUUCAUCAUUUGUUGUGUACAUAGAAUAUUCUUUCAUUUGUUUCAUGGUUUUAUUCAUCUCUUUGGAUUUAUCCAAUGGCAAUCCCUGCGAUUUAUUGGAGUUACCUGGAUAUCAAGUGUCUUAUCAGCAUCAAAAGUCGAGAGGAUGCGAUGUGAUUCCAGGAGCGAAGUUGGGUUACGAGUUUAGCAAACAGCAACCCCUAUGAUUGGCUGGAUACCUAGGGUCUUAGUAGCAUUGGAAGUUGGGGAACUUGGCACAAUUCAUAAAGCAAAAUUAAGUUUCGCUACAUCGAGGGAAAACGCCCAAGUGCUCAUGUUUACACAUUUCUUGAAAGCAAGAUUGAUCGGAUGGUGGUGGUAUUAUCUAUUACUACAAUUAUUUCUAUUUUUCUUUUAGAUCCAAGCUCUAAUAAGCCCAUACUGGGGCAAAUUUUUGUUAUGAGAAUUUGUGAGAAUAAACCCACACAGGGGCAAAUAUUUUUGUAGUUCAAUGGAGGAUUUCGUCCAAGAAUUAAAAUAAUGCAUUUUUCAAAUCAAUCACGCUGUUUCUUUUCACAAAAUUUGAGUGCAUGUCAUAUUUUGGUAAGCCCUGUGCAGAUAUCAAUAGUUGAAGUCGACGAAAGAGCAUCUGGUGAUGUGAAAGGCCGAUGCCGAAGAAAGCGAAGAAAGAAGGGAAAAGAGCCCCACACUUGGGGCAAAUUAUUUUUGAAAAAAUUCUCUCAAAAAAAAAAAAAAAUUUCAGAAAAAUUCAAAAGUCAAAAAAUCAAAAAUCAAGUUCAAAUUCUUGUUUCUUGAAAAAUCAAAUUUGAUUUCUUAUGGGCGAAGCUUCAAUGCAUGCCGCACAUCAUUCUGUUCCCCCUUCUCUUGACAUUCAAAAAAAAAAAAAAAAAAAAAAUCAAGUUGGGCUUGGUUUUCGUGCCGCCAACCUUUCAAAAUUCAAAAUCAAGUUGGGCCUGGUUUUCGUGCCGCCAACCUUUCAAAAUCAAGUUGGGCCUGCCUUUCAAAAUCUCGUUGGGCCUGGUUUUCGUGCCGCUAACUUCUCAAAAAUCACGUUGGGCCUGGUUUUCGUGCCGCCAACCUUUCAAAAUCACGUUGGGCCUGGUUUUCGUGCCGCCAACCUUUCAAAAUUCAAAAUCAAGUUGGGCCUGGUUUUCGUGCCGCCAACCUUUCAAAAUCAAGUUGGCCUGGUUUUCGUGCCGCCAACCUUUCAAAAUCUCGUUGGGCCUGGUUUUCGUGCCGCCAACCUUUCAAAAUCAAGUUGGGCCUGGUUUUUAUGCCGCUAACUUCUCAAAAAUCACGUUGGGCCUGGUUUUCGUGCCGCCAACCUUUCAAAAUCAAGUUGGGCCUGGUUUUUAUGCCGCCAACUUCUCAAAAAUCCCGUUGGGCUUGGUUUUCGUGCCGCCAACUUCUCAAAAAUCAUGUUGGGUCUGGACUUUGUGCCGCCAACAUCCCAUUGGGUCUGAAAUUUGUGCCGCCAGUGCAACCAAGGCAUGAUCGGGUUUAAUCACACUGAUCAAUUCAUCAUACCGGGGCAACAAUUAUUUCUGGAAAAGUUUUUCCCAAAAAAAAAAAAAAAAUCAUCAAAUAUCAAUCAAUCAAAAAUUAGGUUUAACUUCUUAUUUCUUGAAGAAAUCAAUUUCAAAUCUCAACUUUUAAUUUUUUGUUGACAAGUCUCAGCGUCCGCCACACACCUUCUACCUCUUUUCUUGACAACCACAUUUAAUUCACUGCCUUCAACCACCGUUAGCAUCGAGUCUAUCUCACUAACGUGCGUGUUUCAUUUCUACCGUCGUUAGCAUCGAGUCUAUCUCACUAACGUGCGUGUUUCAUUUCUACCGCCGUUAGCAUCGAGCCUAUCUCACUAACGUGCGUGUUUUCAUCCCACCAACACUCCAUCUCAUUUCUGUCUGGGUCUAUCCCAUUUAAAUUUCUGUCUGGGUCUAUCCCAUUUAAAUUUCUGACUGGGUCUAUCCCAUUUAAAUUUCUGUCUGGGUCUAUCCCAUUUACAUUUUCUGUUCGGGUCUAUCCCGUGGGUCUAUCCCAAUUUUUUAAAUUUCUCGUCCGAGUCAGUUUCAUAAAAAGGAGUCAGCCCUCAUGUCAAUAACAGCAGUCGUUCGAGUAGCUAAAGCCGAAUGACCCAGGUAAGCAUUUGGUGUCUACUUCUUUGUCUCAAGUUUUUUCAAAACUCAGACAAAGAGGGGCAAACUGUAGACACCAAAUUUUUGGUGUAAUUUUUGGUGUAAUUUUUUUUUAUUUUUUAUUUUCAUUGUCGUGGUUGCUUUUAGUUUUUUUUUUAGUUUCUAGUUUUUAUUUUAUUUUUAAGUUUUAGCGUAGAAAAAUCAUGAAAAAAGAAAAAUCAUAAAAAAGGAAAAAAAAAGGAAAAAGAAAAGAAAAAUAGCAAUUUUGUUUUAUUUAGCUUUAUUUUAGUCAUUUCGACUUAAUUUAUCUUUUAUUGUUGUUUGAUUCAUUUAGAAAAAAGAGAAAAGGUGAAAAAUGAGAAAAAAACUAUGAAAAAGAAAAAAUGUAGAAAAAAGAUGGAAAAAUGGCCAUUUUUGUUGUUUCUAGUUGUUUAGUUUUUAAAUUAUUUUCAUUAUUAUUAUUAUUAUCUGGUUUUUGUCAAUUUGUUAUUUAUAUUUUUAUUUUAUCAUUUUUGUAAUUAUCAAGUUGUUUAACGCAGAAAAAGCUGCAUUUUUUAACGCAGCUUGCAAACAGAAAUGGCAGGAGGUCCUUGAACACAAUUUGGGGAGCCAUAAGAGGCCAGGUGUCUAGGACACCUGGAAGGAGAGGAUUCUAGAUUUUUUGGGGGGCUAGGUUUCGGCUGAGUUGGGAGAGCGAGAGAGAGAGGGGACGGGAGUGAAGGUUACGGCAAGAAAAAGGAAAAAACAAACGGAAGGUAGGCGGCGGCAUAAGAGAUAGAAAAAAUCUGAGAGGAAAAAGGGAGAAAGAUGAGGAACCAGAAGAAGGUAGAGGGAUCGGAGUAGCGGCUGAAAAGAAAGAAAAUUUUUCUGAGUGACAACAAGGGAACCAAAGAAGCAGCUAGCCACCAAGUCAGCAAGGAAAUCAGCUCAUCGUUUCUGUCCAAGAACGAUGGCGCCGAGAGAAACCAGAUAAGGAAAAACAAAAGAUUGAGAGAGAGCUUCAAGGAGGCGGUUGGAAGUUAGAGAGAGGAAGGAGAGAUAGCUAAAAGGUGGACGGCAAGAAGGAGGAAGAAAACAGAAAAUAGAAUGGGGGCAGAGUCAGGAAGAAAGGAGAUUUGAAGUUGCAAGGAUGGUGCUGUGUUAUCAUCGCUGGUCUCCAUUUACGUCUUCCGAAAGCCUGGCAGAAUCAUCCGAAUUCUUUUCUUGGUCCUUCCCCGAUUCAUUUUGUGAUUAAGGUAAUAUCCUUAUCUCUUUUAGAAUUAGAAACUGUCUUCCUUUGUUGGUUUGAACUUUUUUGCUAUCUGUUGGUUCAAUGGUCGCUUGUAGCCUUUCAUUUUAGUCCGUAAGUCUGGUUUAAGUUUGGGUUUGAGUAUAUGAUUCACAGUGAGACUGUUAUAUUUGCUUGACUUGUGUGAUGUUUGCCGAUCCUAUUGCCUGGGUUUUAGUUUACUUUAGGCUGAGCAUCGAGCACAAAAUUCGCUGCAACAAACUUGAGGCUCGAUUCGAUACAGCAGUACGGGAAAGAUCAGUUUUUGUUCUCUCUUGGGUUGCUCGUUUGAUGGUAUUGUUUUCAUUUGCUGAUUGUUUAGGAUGCUGUGAGUGUUUUCUAACAAAGAUGUGUUUAGACUUUUCUUGUUGGGGACCGAGAGAUGAAUGCGUAUUCAGACGCUGUUUUUGGCCAUUUGUUGCUGAUUUUCUUUCGUUGAAUGUUCAGUUCGCGUUUUAUCAUUUUUUUAGAUGGAUUGUGCUUGUGUUUUGAUAAAAACGAUGAUUUGUUUGUUCACAAUAGCCCACUAACUCAGCACAUAGGUAUGUUUCGCCUAAAAAAAAAAUACAGCAGCUUACUUGUUUUGUUUUUGUUGAUAGCAGAAAUUCUGUUGCAUUUUUAUCAAUUCGGCCAGACUGCAUUUUCCUUCUUUUUGCCGUUGUUUGCUUUGAACUACCAUGGCUAUGUCUGUUCAGUUUAGGAAGUGUCCGGACUUGAGUUACUGUGCAUGAAUACCCUUGAACUAGGUAAGGAAGACAUGAAACUGCUGGUCGCAGAAUUUGCAGCAGAGCAAGGUUGCCGUGGCUACUUUGCUGUUUUCUUUCACUGUAACCAUGCACUAGGCUUUGGUUUCUUCUAAUCUAUUGGUCAGUUUUGUGUAGAAAGAGGGUGGGGGAAGUGGAAGUUUGGUGCUGAGUUUGCAUAUUUAGAUCUUAAAUACUUGAAGCAUGUUGGAAAACUUGGCUGGAACUUAGACAGUUCAAGUGCCGAACCAGUUCUUGUAUGUUUGUUUUUCCAGAAAUUUGCUGCUUGCGUGACCUUUUGCAUGAUUUUCUGAUGUUUAAACAUAAAGAUCUUAUGUUGGAAAGUGAGAUGAAUGUUUAAUGACCGUGUGGUAUUAGUGGUUUGAGACUUUGAAUUUUUGUUUGUUUGAGAUAAUGAAUCAAAGAGCAAAAUGUGGCUGGAAUGUUGCAGAAAGUUUAAGAAAUGGUUGAAACUUUGUUGCAGAAACAUAGCCUCGUAGCAAUUCAUACGCAUGCAUGAAAUAUUUCUAAAAUUUUCACUUUGACCCUUCAAGUCCUAGAAUAAUUGCAUUUUGAUCAUUCACAUAUCCCCUUGUUUCAUUAAGACCCAAUUAUGUUUUCAUUUCUUGCAAUUGAGUCCUAAAUUGAUUGCAAUUGGAACCAUGACAUGACUCUCUCUUUGCUUUUGGACCCUUGAAGUUCCUAAAAUGUUUGAAUUGGGUUUGGGUGAUUUAUUAAUAUUGCAAUUGGGUCCUUAAUAGUUGCUAUUUUUGGGAAUUUGAUGGAUCAUUCCACUUUUUUGGUAAUCAUGCAUUAUGUGAUUUCAUUUGAGUUGCAAUUAAGGGAAUUUUUGGUGAUUUUCCUUAUACUUUACUAUUUAAUUGGUGCAUUGAUUCCUCUAUUAUUUUGAAGCCAUUCUACUUUUUACUAGCUUCACAAACGGGGGAGGUAUAACUUUCUUUUAUCUUUUUUGUCACUCUCUAAGUGAUCCAACGUGCUAAGUGAGAAUUGCAUGCCUAAUUUGCUAUCCUUACCUUGCUUUAAAUUUCUGUCAUCUACUUCAUUUAUUUUUGCUUUUUCAUUAUUUGUUUGUGGGGUAUGUGUACACCUCUUGGUUUGUAAUAGAUAGGGCUCGGCGAGCAUUUUGUCCAUUUCCCCCUUCCCCUUUUGUUUUAGUUCGCAAAUGUAACAGGCUCCUUAGCUUUAUUGCUUGUUUAUAUGCUAUGUGUUGCUGCUUUGUUAGGGCCUUGCAUCUAGUUGAGCAUGCUAAAUGUUAUGUGCUAUGUGUUUAGGAGUGUUUGGCAUGUCUACUCGCUUUCCAUGGCCAUGAAUGAAUGUGAUGGAUGAAUGUACGUUUCCGCUAGUCCAACGCUAGUCGGAAUUCAUAGAAUGGGCUAGUCCAACGCUAGACCCUUAGGGAUUUCUCCUCGUUAGUACAUCAUUUGCUUGUUCACCACAUAUCACGCAUUUUCCUUAGUUUUAUCAUUUGGCAUGAUCCUCGAACCCCUUCUCCCCUCAUUUUAGGUGUUGCAUCCCAUGCUAGCUAUAGGGUUCAUUUUGUGUGAGUGUCCCCUUCCGAUAAGGGAAACGAGCGAGUGUGGCUACUUGAUAGCCUUAGCACGCUAGUUUCGCCUUCUAAUCAAAGGGAAAAUCGAAGUCGAAAAGUUAGGAGUCUUUCCCGUACCCGAUUUGUUGCAUCCCUCUAGGGUCAUACUUUCAUUUUAUCCCAUCCAUACAUUUUUAACCACAAUUUUUCACAUUUUUCAAACCAUACUUUUUACUACAUUUUACCUAUUACUUGCUUAUUUCCACUUCACAAAUGAAAUUCCACUUUACCUUAUAUAUCUAUUAUUCUAUUUUCAUACACUUGCACACAAAAAACACUUGAAUUUUAUACAAUUUCACACAUGCACCCUUUUUUACAUUCGCACACUUGCACUUAUUAUUUCAUGCAUCUUUCAUACACUCACACACUUGCACACUUGAAUUCGAACUCUCAUUUGCAUUAAUCGACCUCUAUGAGGUUUUCCUCUGUUGGCCGCCACAAUUCAUGUGGUUUGGGACCAAAAGCCUCACAAGAGACAUCAUAGAAUUUAGGAUUGCAUUUUCUUUUCCGUUUUGCAUUCAUGUAGUGCAUCCAAAUGUAAUAAAUUCUUUGAUUAAAACAAGAAAAUCUUUGAUUAAAUCAUGCAACUAGCCUUGGCUAGGUCAAAGGGGUGCCUUGGAUUUUAUCCUUGCCUUCCCCUUUGUCAAAUGUGACUCCCGAACCUUUUUCUUUGGUUUACGUGGACUAGGAGUCGUUUAAAAGGGGUUUCUUACUACUUUUUCCUAUUUUUUUCAAAAAAUUCAUUUUUUAGGUGACUUGGUACACCUUAACUCAUUACCAAGUGGCGACUCCAAUUUUCAUUUCAAAAAACCCUUUUUAAACUAUAACUUUGGGUCAAAUCGUCGCAUUCUCAAAUCCCCAUUUAGACCCAUUUUUCCUUUUAAACCACAAUUUAUUUUCCAAUCACAAAUACAUUUUUUUAAAACCAUUUAUAUUUAUUUAUUUCAUUCAAAAAAAAUGGGGCGCGACACCUACCAAGAGAAAGGUUUUUAUGGAGUAAAUCAAAGUUUUAACGGUUGGUUUGUGAGAUCAAGGCAAGAAAUGGAAGAAACAAGUUGAGAGCUUUCUUUUCUUUUCUUGUUGAGAGGGCUGGCCAAAGGAGCUAAAAAUGAUGAAAUAAAUUGGCCAAAGUUAGCUUUAAAAAAGUAAAAAUAUCUUGGUCAAAAGUCCAAGGAUGAAUUGAAUGGUGACACUUGUCACCUUUUGCUUAAAGUUUAUCUCUUUGUCUCUCUAAUACUAAUCCAUAUAGGUAACUUCUAAUUAUCUCUUAGCACCUUGUAAAAUAAUAUCACUUAAUACAAAACUCUAACAAGUUGUCAAAAAUUUAUCGCAUUUACCGCACUAGCGGGUCCCACGUUGAUAAUACACUUCAAACUUAACGUGGACUAACUUGUAUCAAGGAAAUGAUUUGAAAACUAUAUUCCCUUAUAAAAAUAUAUAAGAAAUUAAUAUAUUGAAGAAAGGCAUAAAAUUAUAGACAAGGAAACAAAAUAAUGUCUCGAAAAUAUAUAAAAAUCUUCGGAUUUUCACACUCAUUCUUUCGGGGCGUCACACGGGUAUUAUCCCACUGACCAAUUAAAGGCAGGCUCGAGUAUUAUCCCACUAACCAAUUAUCAAGACAGGCUCGGGUAUUAUCCCACUAACCUAUUAUCAUGGUAGGCUCGGGUAUUGAUCCCACUGACUAAUUGAAUGGCAGGCUCAGGUAUUGAUCCCACUGACCAAUUGAAGGCAGGUUCAGAUAUUAUCUACUAGCCGAUGUUAUGGUAGGCUCGGGUAUUAUCCCACUAAUCAAUAGUACGGUUGGUUCAGAUAUUAUCUCAUUGACUAAUUGAAUGGCAGGCUCGGGUAUUGAUUCCACUGACCAAUUGAAGGCAGGUUCGGAUAUUAUCUACUAGCCGAUGCUAUGGCAGGCUCUGGUAUUAUCCCACUGAUCAAUGGUACGGUUGGUUCAGAUAUUAUCUCACUGACCAAUUGAAUGGCAGGCUCGGGUAUUGAUCCCAUUGAUCAAUUGAAUGGCAGGUUCGGGUGUUGAUUCCACUGACCAAUUGGAGGCAAGCUCGGGUAUUGAUUCCACUGACUAAUUGAAUGGCAGGCUCGGGUAUUCAUCCUACUGACCAAUGACAGGCAGGUUCGAGUAUUCAUCCACUGACCAAUUGAACGACGGGAUUGGGUUUUAUCCCACUAAUUGUUAACAUCACGUUGGGCUUGGAUUUUAUGCCACCAACCUCGGUAGGCUUGGAUAUGUCCUACUGACCGUCCUAUUAUGAUGGAUUUGGAAUUUAAGCAGGCUUGGGUUAUAUCCCAUUGACCAUUUUAUCGUAUCGAAUUUGGAAUGUCGGUAGGCUUGGGUUGUAUCCCACUGACUGAUGUUAUGGCAGGUUCGGGUCUUAUCCCGUUGACUUUUUUUACGUUUACAGGUUUUAGUUCACAGCAGAAUAACCAAAUGUAAGUAUUUAGUGUCUACGUCUUUGUCUCGAGUCUCUUCGAAACUCAGACAAAGAGGGGCGAACUGUAGACACCAAAAAAUUCAUUAAUUCAAUUUUAUACUUUAUUUACUUA
rnacentral:lncRNA from 1 species